GACGAACGCUGGCGGCGUGCUUAACACAUGCAAGUCGAGCGGUAAGGCCCUUUCGGGGGUACACGAGCGGCGAACGGGUGAGUAACACGUGGGUGACCUGCCCUCAGCUCUGGGAUAAGCCUGGGAAACCGGGUCUAAUACCGGAUAUGACUCCAUGACGCAUGUUGUGGGGUGGAAAGCCUUGUGCGGCUGAGGAUGGGCCCGCGGCUUAUCAGCUUGUUGGUGGGGUGAUGGCCUACCAAGGCGACGACGGGUAGCCGGCCUGAGAGGGCGACCGGCCACACUGGGACUGAGACACGGCCCAGACUCCUACGGGAGGCAGCAGUGGGGAAUCUUGCGCAAUGGGCGAAAAGCCUGACGCAGCGACGCCGCGUGAGGGAUGACGGCCU
rnacentral:rRNA from 1 species